CUCUAUGACUGGAUUAGUGUCCUUAUAGGAAGAGGACAGCCCAGAGCUCGCUCGCUCUCUCUCUCUACCAAGUAAGAACACAGAGAGGAGUUGCUGCCUUCAAGCCUAUAGAAGAGCUCUCACCAGGAACUAAAUAGACCAGCACCUUGAUCUUGAACUUCCCAGUCUCCAGAACUAAGGAGGCUGUGGGUUUGUCACUCUAGGCUCAGAAACAUGGGAGAGGAGACUGAAGAUGGGUCUGAAGUGGACAAGCCAGUCCAUAAAGGCAAGUCUAUGCCGAUGAGGUUGAAGCCAGAUUGUUGAAGUCUCUGAAAGCCAGGAAGAAACUCUGAGACUUUGACGGAAGGGCUAUAGGAGGUCAUCGUGAGAGGUACCAAAUUGGAUGAAUAAAGAAACUUUGACAAUGCAACAGUCUGGAUUUGAUACCAGGUAUACAAAUGAAGACGCAUCAGAGAAAGAAUUAGCAGGGAUUGAAAUCUAUACAAACCAAGUUUUCACUGUCUGCAUGACCUUGAAUGAAUCACACACCUUGCUCUAGUUCAUUCAAUAAAGCAUUCUUUGAUUCAAAAAUAUUUAUCAUGUGCCAGGUAUCUGUACUAAGCUCUGAGAACAUGUUCAUUUACUCACUUGACAAAUAUUCAUUAAGUCCCUACUAUGUGCCAAGCACUGAUCAAGUUGUUGGGAUGCAGC